rnacentral:ncRNA from 14 species
CGUGGCCGAGUGGUUAAGGCGAUUGACUUGAAAUCAAUUGGAGUCAUCCGCGUAGGUUCGAACCCUGCCGGU